UUGUUUUUGAGUUUGAUGAUGGCUCUGAUUGAACGCUGUCCAAAGGCUUGACACAUGCUAAUCAUACAUAAUUUUAUAAAGUUUCAUUUUUAAUAGACUUUGGUAAAAAAAUUAGGUGGUGUAAAGGUGAGUAUAUAAUACUUUUAUUGCCUUAAAGUAAGGAAAAAAAAUUCCUUAAAGAGAUAAAACUUCUUCUCGCUUUAAGAUAUUUAAGAAUUAUCAAGUAAGUAGUAGUUAAGGUAAUUACUUAACUAGCUUUGACUUGUAGUCAUAACUGAGAGGUUUAUUGACCACAUUGGGUCUGAAAAAACCCCAAUACGUAUAGUACAGCAGUGAGGAAUCUUGGUCAAUAGCCUAACGGCUGAACCAGCAAUUUGGGGGAAUGAAGUUAUAUAUUGAAAUAUAAAUAUAUACGCAUCGACUAUGUCGUAUAAAGUUCUAAAUAGAAGAUUGAUUAUGACAGAUUUCUAUUUAUGUGUCUCGACCAAUUCUUGUGCCAGCAGUCGCGGCAACACAAGCGAGACUAGUGUUAUUCAUCUUUAUUAGGUUUAAAGGGUACCUAGACGGUAUUUUCAGCCUGUGCAGGGUACAAAAAUACUAGAGUUUUAUUUGAGAGGUAAAUAUUAGGACUAUUGGUGUAAAGAUGAAAUUUUUUGAUACUAAUGGGACGGAUAACGGCGAAGGCAAUCCUCUAUAUAUGAACUGACGUUAAGGGACGAAGGCUUGGGGAGCGAAUAGGAUUAGAUACCCUAGUAGUCCAGGCAGAAAAUUAUGAAUGUUAUAGACCAAGAAAAAAUUGGUGUAUAAAUGAAAGUGUAAGCAUUCCACCUCAAGAGUAAUGUGGCAACGCAGGAACUGAAAUCAUUAGACCGUUUGUGAAACCAGUAGUGAAGUAUGUUAUUUAAUUCGAUAACCCUCGAAAAACCUUACCACAAUUUGAAUAUGAUAAAAUACUAUGGUUAUUUAUCAUACAAGCGUUGCACGGCUGUCUUCAGUUAAUGUCGUGAGAUUUUGGUUAGAUUCAUUAAAUUAACGUAAACCCAUACUCCAUUAUGUCGUCUUAAAGUAAAAAAGUGGAUUGGUUACGGCUGGUCCAUAAGUAUGAAAUUUGCUAAGGCCACGGAGUAGUUCACCGCUAUAUUGGAUAUCAUAAUAGGGACCAAGACAAGUCAUCAUGACCUUAAUAUUGUGGGCUAUAGACGUGCCACAUGUAUUUGUACAAAGAGAGGCAAAAAUGCGAAUAUGAGCUAAUCUCUAAAGCAGAAUAUAAAAUGGAUUGUAGUCUGAAACUCGACUGCAUGAAAAAGGAAUUACUAGUAAUCGUGAAUCACUACAUCACGGUGGAUUUAAUCUCACAUAGGUACUAACCACUCGUCAGGCGCUGAAAGGGGUAUGUGCAAUAAGUUUGGUUUUUCGUUAAUCUAACUACGUAGCAAUUAGGCUUGUCUUUUAUUGUCGUAUUUUAACGAGGAAUUUUCGUAUGCGUGACCCUAAUUGGUGUUAAGUCGAAAUACGGUUCGUGUAGUGGAAAUUGCACGGGUUUAAUAAACAUU
rnacentral:rRNA from 1 species